GGCCCCCAAACAUCCAGCUGCUGGUUCUCCUUGGCAGCCAAGAACCAAAGACAGCUCUUCAUUUCAGCCCUAGGUCCUUGGCAGUUCCCGCCGGUGACUCCACAGUAAAAUGGAAAUACCUAAUUAAGUGACUCUCUGGUGAAGCAUGCAUAUAUCAUCACCUUAUCUAGAAAAAGAUUUCCAUCAGCUGCACCUUUUCCCCGUCUCCGUCUCGGAGGGGUUAACCCGGCCAGGCUUUUUCUCGCCCGCCUCAGUUGUGUUGCAAUGUUAUUUCUUACCAGGUGAUAGACAGGGCCUCUCCCCCCUCGGGUUUGUCCUCUAUUCCAUGGAGGCAGCACUUGCGAGGCCCUCGGGCCUUUCGGGGAGCCCACAUCCUCCGGGGCUAUGUGUCAGGGGUGUGUGUGAGGGCAUUCCUCGUUGUCAUCCCGAGUGGCUCCUAACAUGCCCUGCCUAGUACAGCCGCCAUAGUCAUUACAGGGAGUGUCUGCACAGUGAGUCCCCCCAGGGAGCCCUGACAUUGAUGUAAUGCUCACCCCCCUCCCGCCCCCGUGUGUUCAGAGCAACUGCAAAGCUCUCGGUAAUAAUGGUGAAGGAAAUUGAUUUCAUCCUCUCCCCGCCCCCUUUCUUCGCACAUCAGAAAGGAGGGAUCCUAAUGGGCCCUGAUGCUAUCUGGGUGAUUGGGCAGAAAAGGGCAGCCCGGCUUGUCAGCGUUUCACUUUCCACUCUUCAUCUAUUCCGGAUUUUAGUUUUUCCAGAAGAGGAAUCUGACUGGCAGGCUUCACCGGGUCCUGGGUCAACAACCCAGCGGUGAAUGGGCUGCCCGGGCAGCGAGUGCCCACCUGAAGAGUAAGCACGUGGAAGGAGAGCUACACGUUUUGCAUUACGGGGACUGCAGGACUCAUAACGCUUAAGCCCCCUUCCAGUUCUGAGAAUCUUGGGGGCAUUUGAGUCAGCAGAACUAUUCCACAGAAUCACACGCUUUACACUAUUCACACAUGUUAGACCCAACAUCCAUGCUAAGGCAGCUGAUUAAUCUUGUCCAAUCACGACCGCACUAAUCUCUUUGCCAGAAUUUGGCUCAGGAAUACGUAGAUUUACUCCCUGUUUGGAUCAAGAAGAUAAAGAAAUAUAUUUGUGUUUUCUAGGAAAAGAGUCCUUAAGACUAAGGCCUGGGAAGCUUCUCUUUAUUUCCAACUGGACAUGAACACGAAGGUAUUUUUAGCUCAAGUUUCUCUGGAUGACAUCUUGUACCCAUGAGGGGAGACAAACUGAAGCUAAGUAGAUCCAGAGCCCUGAUCACACCGUUCCUGAAGCCUACCUCUAGACUUUCUGUUGUAUUAGGACAAUUAUUUUGUUUAAGCCACUUUAGCUCAUGGUUCUGUUACUUGCUGCCAGAUGCUUGAGAACCAUACGCAGCUACAGCCAAGUUCCUUUCUCCCCCAAAGUCCCUUCACUGCCCCCAAGGCAUUCCCAAGCUCAGAACCCUUAAAUCUUCAAUGGCUGCCAUUGUCUAAGGAUGCCAAUCCAAACUUCUGAGCCUAGAGAUCCAGAGCUCUAAUGCAAGGCCUGGGAUGAGGGGACUCUGCUUCUUAGCACUGAUCACUGUAUCCUCAGAGCUUUUGCUGUUCUGGGCUGCAGGACCCUUAAAGAACCAUGCCUCCUCCACAUCGUAGACACUGGGUCCAGCCCUCCUGGAUGCUACCAUAACAAAUUACCGCGAGCCGGGGGCCCCACACAGCAGACGUGUAUUUUCUCACAGCUCAGGAGGCCAGAAGUCUGAAAUCAAAGUUUCCGCUGGAUGGGCUCCUGUUGGGAGCUCUGAGCGAGAAUCUGGCCUGUGCCUUUCUCCCAGCUUCUGGUGGCUCCUGGCAAUCUUCGGCCUUCCUUGGCUUGUAGAUGAUCCCUUCACAUGGCUGUGUGUGUGUGUGUGUGUGUGUGUGUGUGUGUGUGCGCGCGCGCGUGUGUGAGUGUGUGACUGUGUGAGUGCCUGCCUCCUCCUUUUGUAAGGACAGCAGUCACUGGGCACUUGGGGCCCACCUUAAUUCACCACAUACUGUGCUAAAUGCUGGGGACGUGGAGGUGGGCACAACACGGUCCCUGCCCACCAGGAGCCCACAGUUUGGCAAGGGACUGACCAUGCUUGGGAUUUCACCACGUUGGGGCAGCGCUGUGACAGGCUAACAGGUGGGUGUAGUGAGGUCACUUAGAGGAUGUUGGUUCACAAACCCGGGAGCAUUUGGAGUGUAGUCUGAAACUGACCGCACGCACAGAAGACAGGGAGAGACCGAAGACAGAGGCGGGUCACCCCACGUUGGUAAGUGGCAGGUUGAAUAAGCAAGAGAACUUACUUUGUAAGCCUGAUCUUGAGUGCCUCAAGAUGAAUAGAUACCUGAACCCACCUUCUAGAAUCUUAAAAGUUUAGAGAAAGGCCUUUGUGAGGUUCGGUCAUAUCCGCCGUCGAGGCGGUCUCCACAACACCUGUCCCUGAAGACGGCUCCCUCUGUGGGAACAGGGUGUGGGAGAGACUGCAUGUACAUUCCCAGGACAGGGGAGGGGGAGAAGGCCCUCCACUUCCCCGGGGUCAGCUCUCGGGUCAGCCGGCAGUCACGUCUUCCUGAUGACCUCCUCCACCGGAGGGCAGCUCCUGGGGGACAGGUGUCCUGGGAUCUCAGGGAGAACUAGGUGAGGGCAGGGGGGUGGGUGCGGUGUGCAGGAGGCGUGAGCCCAUCCGGUUCACGUACCACCUGCUAAGCCGGGUGGAGCAGACUGUGGUCUUCGCUCUGGAUGCUGGCAGAGGCAACGGCGACAUUUGCAUGCUGGCCAGACCACUCCGGCAGCCUCGGGAGGCCGGCGCUGGGGUGUCCAGACUGAAGGCCAUGUUCCUUCUGGGAAUCCAGCAGAGGCCAGGGGUCUGACCUAAAGAAGGAGCAGAAGUGAGACAUCUGGGCAGGCAUCCCCCAUCUUUCAUGGCAAGGCCGGCAGAAGCGUGAUAGGUUGACAGAAAAACCUUUGAUCCCCGAAGGCCUCACAACGGGUUCAGGGUUGGUAACAUCUUCCCUCAGAUCCCUUGUUUUGUGAGGGAGAACGUUUAACCAUGCUCAGCCCGGUUUCUCGAAGGUACCAUAGUGAGAUUGUUUUUAUUAAAAAAAAAAAAAAAAAAAAGUGACUAACGUUUGUUUAUUUUUGAGAGCAAGCGAGACAGAGUGCCAG